rnacentral:rRNA from 1 species
UACGUAGGGGGGCGAGCGUUGUCCGGAUUUAUUGGGCGUAAAGAGCUCGUAGGCGGUUCGAUAAGUCGGACGUGAAAUCUCCACGCUCAACGUGGAGGGGCCGUUCGAUACUGUCGUGACUCGAGUCCGGUAGGGGAGUGUGGAAUUCCCGGUGUAGCGGUGAAAUGCGCAGAGAUCGGGAGGAACACCCGUAGCGAAGGCGGCACUCUGGGCCGGUACUGACGCUGAGGAGCGAAAGCGUGGGGAGCAAACAGGG